CUGGCGGCGUGCCUAACACAUGCAAGUCGAACGAGAAAGUGGAGCAAUCCAUGAGUAAAGUGGCGCACGGGUGAGUAACACGUGACUAACCUACCUUGAAGUGGGGGAUAACCUCGGGAAACCGGGGCUAAUACCGCAUAAUCCCGAGAGGGCAAAGGAGCAAUUCGCUUUUAGAGGGGGUCGCGGCUGAUUAGUUAGUUGGUAGGGUAACGGCCUACCAAGACGAUGAUCAGUAUCCGGCCUGAGAGGGCGCACGGACACACUGGAACUGAAACACGGUCCAGACUCCUACGGGAGGCAGCAGUGGGGAAUUUUGCGCAAUGGGGGAAACCCUGACGCAGCAACGCCGCGUGGAGGAUGAAGUCCCUUGGGACGUAAACUCCUUUCGAUCGGGACGAUUAUGACGGUACCGGAAGAAGAAGCCCCGGCUAACUUCGUGCCAGCAGCCGCGGUAAUACGAGGGGGGCGAGCGUUGUUCGGAAUUAUUGGGCGUAAAGGGCGCGUANGCGGUGCGGUAAGUCUGUA
rnacentral:rRNA from 1 species